rnacentral:rRNA from 1 species
UACGGAGGGGGCGAGCGUUAUUCGGAAUUAUUGGGCGUAAAGGGCGCGUAGGCGGCUGGGCAAGUCAAAGGGGAAAUCCCUCGGCUCAACUGAGGAACUGCCUUUGAAACUGCCUGGCUUGAGGCCGGGAGGGGGUAGCGGAAUUCCCAGUGUAGCGGUGAAAUGCGUAGAUAUUGGGAGGAACACCAGUGGCGAAGGCGGCUACCUGGACCGGUUCUGACGCUGAUGCGCGAAAGCGUGGGUAGCAAACAGG